AUUUCUUUUAAAACAUCAUUCUCCCUGCAUCUCUUUUCUCUCAAUCUCUCUCUCGCUCAUCUCUCUCUUCUCUCCCCAGUCUCUCCCUCUCGCGCUCAACCUCUCUUCCCUCGCACUUCUCCCUGAAUUUCUCUCCCGCGCUGUUUCUUCCUCUCCUGUCUUCCUUUCCCCUCGGUUUUCCGGCGUCGCCUCACCUCCGGGAAUCGCCGCCGCUCUCCGCCGGCCUCACUCUUUCUUCCUUCCUUUCCCGAGUUGCUGCUGGGUACCGGUAUUCAUAUAUGUAUUAGUCGACUGGGAUGUUCAGAAAUAGUGAAUAGUAUCGUGGAGCGAGGCUGGCAUAAACCAAUGAAGUGAAGCUGUGCUAUGAAUAUUUUAUUAAAGUCUGUCAGAAACUAAGCAGAAGGGAACAGUUCAGUAGAUAGUACUAUUAGAAAUCUGAGUUAGACACCAGAGUUAAGCUAGGGAUUAAGAUGAUUCGUUUGUCAAGCUGCGCGUAGAAGUAAUGCUAGGCGAGAUUGCCAGUGAGAUGUCUGCAAGAAUAGUAUGGGUUAGAAUUGUUCUAUUUCAGUUAUUGUAUAAUAGAUUUAUUUAUUGGUUAUCAGUUACUCUUCUUAUCGAGGUUUAACUGAUAAUGUAGUUUAAGUUGUAAUAAGAUUUGAUAGUUUUUGGUUUCUGAUUUCAGUGCUGUAACCUAUUAGCGA